CGGACGGGUGAGUAACGCGUGGAAAACCUGCCGUAUACUGGGGGAUAACACUUAGAAAUAGGUGCUAAUACCGCAUAAGCGCACAGCUUCGCAUGAAGCGGUGUGAAAAACUCUGGUGGUAUAUGAUGGUUCCGCGUCUGAUUAGCUAGUUGGUGGGGUAAUGGCCUACCAAGGCAACGAUCAGUAGCCGGCCUGAGAGGGUGAACGGCCACAUUGGGACUGAGACACGGCCCAAACUCCUACGGGAGGCAGCAG
rnacentral:rRNA from 1 species